ensembl:lncRNA
CACAAUGACCCAAUGGAGCCUCUGCUAUGCAAAUGAUCUCACAUACACACACUUGCUGAGUCACACACGUUUGAGACUUAAAUUCAGCUUUUUAGCACAAAAUACAAUGGAUCUCAAGCUUUAUUGUCCCUUUCAAGCGGUUGACCUUUGAUAUUUCUCCCAGAGCUUGGAGAGUUUCCAUGUCUGUCACCUCCAGCUACAAAUUAAGUGGCAUUUACAAGUAAAACUUGAGAAUUUAGAUUAAAAUGCACAGGACAAUCAUUAAUGGUGUAAAAUGAUUAAUUACUAUCCUAAAAAGAGACAUCCUGAUUACAGACCUAUAUUAACUGAUUUCAUGACGCUAAUAUUGCAUGUAAAAAAAAUGGUGCAGUGGUACAGAUUUUAUUUUGAAAAUGUAAAUAAAAUAAAAAACUUGCACACAUGCUCAACAAAUAGAAACAUUAGAAACAGAUCUCAAAAUUGUUAUUAUUAUUCUGAACAAGUAUUAUGUAUUUCAUAAGUAAUAUGCAUUCUGACAUUUUUUUUUUUUCAAGCAACAUUUAGAUCACAACUGUUUACUUGUGGUUUACUUGUCUUUUUUCAGGAUUCUUUUGAAGAACAGCAUGCUUUUAAAUAGAUUUAUGUAACAUUGUGGAUGCCUUUACUGUCAUUUUGAUUAUUUUAUUGCAUUUUAUCAUUUUCAUAAAGCACAUAGUAUAUCGUGUGUAUCUUAAAUGUUUUGAAAGAUUUCUCUAAAGCAUUUAUUUGAACACAAUUAAAGAAAUCUUUUUUUUUUCUUUUUCUGUUUUAAUAUAUUGUAAAAUACAAUUUAUUCCUGUGAUGUCAAAGGUGUAUUUUCAGCAUAUUAUAUAGACCUUCUUGACUGCGACUGUUGCCAUCUUCUCUAUCAACUGACUUUUAGAGGGAAUAUCAGCAGGGUUUUACUUCCUGUUGGCAAAGACCAGCUAACCAGUUUUAAUAGUUCCCUGUGGAGAACUCUUCUGCAGUUACACUUAAUGACUGUCACUUCAAGUUCACACAGUAGGCCGAGCAAAUAACGCAUCCAAACACUCACUCACAGAGAGAAAUGUGGGUAUGUUUGCUGUUCGCAUCUCCCAAAGUGUCCAGAGUCCACUUGUGUAUCUGGUGCACAGCCGCUGGCAUUUGGGACAGCUGGCAAAACAAUUACAAAUGGCUAAUAACAGCUCUCGGUAACGAAGAUGACAUGAUGCUUGGAACGCACCAGAGUCUCUUCCUCUCACCCCAUUCCCCUGCGUUCAUCUCUCCUCCAAACCUGUUUUUCAUCGUCUCCUCUCCCCCUGCUCCUCUCUUGAUAAUCGCAUUAGCUCCAAUCCCUCGUAUUGAAAUCCCAAAACUGCUCUGCGUAUUAAUCGUGCAGGAAUCUCGUUACAGCUUCUGCUGUAAUUUAAACCAUCUGCUGUGGGGUGGGCGAGCGGAAUGGCGGGAGAACUUAUGCGCAGCUCGCAGCUCUGUCUCUGUUUGUGAGGUAGCUCUCUGCACGCUCGCUCCUCUCUGUUUCUGAAAAUAAACAGAACCGACAGGUCAAGCUCUGAGACUCUGUCCUCGUGUGACCCUGAGCUCUCUUGUACGCCGAGUGUCUAAUUCCUCAAUCCAGCACACACAGUAUAAGUGCUGUUGAUAGAAAGUGAUACUGGAACUCUAGGAGAGUCUAUGCUUGCUGGUCUCGUUUAGCCAGA